CUGUUAAAAGUUUUUUUUUUUUUUCUACAUAAACACUUUGAGGUCAAAGUUUGGUUGAAAUGUUUUCUCCACAUUAUAACGACUGUCACCACAAUCAUCACAGGCACCACUCUCCACAACAGAGAUUUUUUAUAAAGCUUUGUCUUGAGAAGUCAGAACAUAAUUUCCCAUGGAAACAAUGUUGUAAUAGUGAGUGGGUCAUCAGGCUAGGCUUAAGUGUGUGUGAUGCAUAUUGUACCUUAACAAGUAAAAUGUCCCAGCUGCCCAGGAGCUCCAGGGAAAGAGGCUCUGGACAGCACAGUCAUCAUCAUGUGUGUGCGUUUGCAUGUGGGUGCAUGCGUGUGUGUACGUGUGUGCACAUGUGUGGGUGUGUGUGUGUGUGUGUGAGAGAGAGAGAGAGAGACUGAAAAAUAACAGAGGAAACAGAAACAUCAUGUGGCUUUUCAUUAUGACCUGUGCUGACAAAACACCUCUGACAUGGCAAUCCAGUUCAGACACAUGCAGAUUCCACACAACUGAAACAAAAGUCUCAUAGGACAAAACUUUCCCUUAAGACAAGUGAUAGGCCAAUACUUUCUCUUUUUUCAUUAAAAAAGCAGAAGAGGGAGAAGAAAGCAAGCUGAGCCUUGACCUUACACCUCACAGCUAUGGAAAAGCACCAUUCUGUUCUAAAUCGAGGAGAAAUGAAGCAUAGACAAAUUGAUGAUCACUUAAGUACACAAAUCCGCAGAAAGGCAACGUCUUCUAGUGGAAGAAAUAAAAUUGUUAACAUUUUUGGAUGAGACUACAGUCUGAAGUUCAGAUUAUGGUUCUUCUAUUAUUUUGGACAAGCUGUUAAAAUUCGUAUUCAUUUCUUAUACUUUCACUGCUGCAAUUUAUUGACUGCCUUGACAGAAUAUGAUGUAAAAGGAAAUUUCAGAAGAUUGUGACUUUUUAUAUCAGAAAAGAGGAAGAGAAACCUAUUUUGA
rnacentral:lncRNA from 1 species